UAGAGUGUAGCUUAAUGAAAUAGCACUUGCUUAGCAUGUAAAAGGUCCUGGGUUCAAACCUUAGCAUUGUAG
rnacentral:tRNA from 1 species